rnacentral:rRNA from 1 species
AUAAUGGAGAGUUUGAUCCUGGCUCAGGACGAACGCUGGCGGCGUGCCUAAUACAUGCAAGUCGAGCGGAACCAUUGGAGCUUGCUCCUUUGGUUUAGCGGCGGACGGGUGAGUAACACGUGGGCAACCUGCCUUGCAGAGCGGGAUAAC